rnacentral:rRNA from 1 species
CACGUAGGGGGCAAGCGUUGUCCGGAUUUAUUGGGCGUAAAGAGCGUGUAGGCGGCCCGGUAAGUCCGCUGUAAAAGUCAAAGGCUCAACCUUUGAAUGUCAGUGGAUACUGCCGGGCUAGAGUCCGGAAGAGGCGAGUGGAACUCCUGGUGUAGCGGUGGAAUGCGCAGAUAUCAGGAAGAACACCAACGGCGAAGGCAGCUCGCUGGGACGGUACUGACGCUGAGACGCGAAAGCGUGGGGAGCGAACAGG